AACAUCGCGCACCUGCGGGAACCUGCGGAAGGAUCAUUAAUGAUUGGUGGCUGCUGCUGACUAGUGUUUCUAGUAUGUGCACGCCACACCUUCAAUCCCACUUACACCUGUGCACCUUCUGUAAUAGAUCUAUGUGGAUACGGAGAUAUGAAAGUUUGCGCUCUCGUACUCUGUUGAAGCAGUCUACUACGUUUUUUUACACACACACAAUAGUCAUUGAAUGUAUUUUUUAUUCUUAUG
rnacentral:misc_RNA from 1 species